AAAACUGAAAGGAAGGAACCCAUAAAGGUGACACAUAAAGACAAAUGGGAAAGACAAGAAAAGCCUGAAAAAAAAGAAAGGCAUGCAGUUACGCACAAAGAGAAACCUGAAAAGCUAGAAAAACCUGAAAAGAAAUCACCUUC